ACGCGGAGGAACAAACUCUGAUGUAACGACGUUUCUUCUGAGUGGUACAAGCAAAUAAUCAAAACUUUUAACAACGGAUCUCUUGGUUCUGGCAUCGAUGAAGAACGCAGCGAAAUGCGAUAAGUAAUGUGAAUUGCAGAAUUCAGUGAAUCAUCGAAUCUUUGAACGCACAUUGCGCCCGCCAGCAUUCUGGCGGGCAUGCCUGUUCGAGCGUCAUUUCAACCCUCAAGCUCUGCUUGGUGUUGGGGCCCUACAGCUGAUGUAGGCCCUCAAAGGUAGUGGCGGACCCUCCCGGAGCCUCCUUUGCGUAGUAACUUUACGUCUCGCACUGGGAUCCGGAGGGACUCUUGCCGUAAAACCCCCAAUUCUCCAAAGGUUGACCUCGGAUCAGGUAGGAAUACCCGCUGAACUUAAGCAUAUCAAAAGCGGGAGGGAAA
rnacentral:rRNA from 1 species